AUCCAACCGACGAGUCCUAAAUAGGAAGAAACGUAUGUCCUAGAU
rfam:Schistosoma mansoni strain Puerto Rico chromosome 1, complete genome